rnacentral:tRNA from 1 species
GCUUUGUCAGUAUGGUGGGUAUGACACUCUCGGCUUGUAAUCGAGUGGGCUCGGGUUCGCGAAUCCCGAAUAAGGUA